rnacentral:misc_RNA from 1 species
CUUGCCAUGAUUGAGUUCUGUCAAAAUCAGUACCCUCCUCCCCCUCUCCCAAAAAAAAAAAAAGUCUCCUUUCUUUGUUUGUCUGCAAUCUGCACUCGGGAGCCACAGUAUAUGUCCAUAUGUUCUUAUGCAAGCUGAAAGGCCAUGUCUUCCAGGGAAGUGUGAUACAAGAUUAUUGAUCAAUUUCUAAUACUCUUUAACUUCCAUAUUACCUAAAAUUCAAUAUUUGGCUUUUUUAAUCAGAGCUACCUGUUACUGUUUUCCUCUGUUUUAUUGACGUUGUAGAGGAAUGAACUAUGUAACCAGACAAUUUACAUCGAGGAGUGAACUAUGUAACCAGACAAUUUACAUCGAGGAG